GAAAAUAUAGUUUAGUAGAGUGGAACAGUGGCGGGAUCCCCAUCCGUACCAUCCGUACACGGGGGUUCGAAUUCAUCUUCCGAUA
rnacentral:tRNA from 1 species